GGAACUGUGCCUGAAGUAAAGGACCACUUUGAUAGAGUGAAUCAUGAGGGUUAGACCCCCUCCAGCUCCU
rnacentral:tRNA from 4 species